GUCGGCUUAUGAAUUAGCGAUGCUAUGAAUUAGCGAUUAUUGAGACAAGGUAUUAAAAUGGGUCAAUAUGUUGAUCCGAACCAGGUGAAUGUUAUAUGCUUCCGCAUGAGGAUCAGGCCACAAGCAAGAACUGAACACACCUCUCAAUGAAGCUUCCGCAUUCGAUCUUGUUUUGUUUUAAUAAAAGUGGAUUAUGUAAACACUUUUAGCGAUGUUUUGGAUGUUGUAAACAUGUUUAAAUACUUAUGAUGUAAAAGUUUUUGUUAAGUGGCAUUUUUCAUAUAAAAUGCUUACUUUAAUGUUAUGUAAAUGAUAAAAAUUAUUAUGGGUGUUAA